UGAACAGUACAGUUUGGGGGUCCUUGUU
rnacentral:piRNA from 1 species